rnacentral:rRNA from 1 species
GGAAAGGAAAGACCGGUCCAAGCACAGGAGGCGUUGCGCAGGCAAAUCCGCGCAAUAAGCCAAAGGUGUGACGGGGAGCGAAAUUAUAGUAGCGAAGUCCGGAUACAUGCUGUCAAGAAAAGCCGCUAUUGCGCCAUACGUACCCGUACCGUAAACCGACACAGGUGGAUGAGGAGAGAAUCCUAAGGCCGGCGGGAGAAGUGUUGUUAAGGAACUCGGCAAAAUGGCCCCGUAACUUCGGGAGAAGGGGCGCCCAGAAAUGGGCCGCAGAGAAAAGGCUCAAGCAACUGUUUAGCAAAAACACAGGUCUAUGCGAAACCGAAAGGUGAGGUAUAUGGGCUGACGCCUGCCCGGUGCUGGAAGGUUAAGGGGAGAGGUUAGCCGCAAGGCGAAGCUUUGAACUUAAGCCCCAGUAAACGGCGGCCGUAACAAUAACGGUCCUAAGGUAGCGAAAUUCCUUGUCGGGUAAGUUCCGACCCGCACGAAAGGCGUAAUGAUUUGAGCACUGUCUCGACAACACACCCGGUGAAAUUGAAAUACCAGUGAAGAUGCUGGUUACCUGCGCCAGGACGGAAAGACCCCAUGGAGCUUUACUCUAGUUUGAUACUGGGACCCGGUAUGACAUGUACAGGAUAGGUGGGAGGCAGAGAAUUAAUGACGCCAGUCAUUAAGGAGCCGCUGUUGGGAUACCACCCUUGUGAUGCCAGGUUUCUAACGAGCUGCCGUGAACCGGCAGGCGGACAAUGUCAGGCGGGGAGUUUGACUGGGGCGGUCGCCUCCGAAAGGGUAUCGGAGGCGCUCAAAGGUUCCCUCAGAAUGGUUGGAAACCAUUCGGAGAGUGCAAAGGCAGAAGGGAGCCUGACUGCGACACCGACGGGUGGAGCAGGUACGAAAGUAGGACUUAGUGAUCCGGUGGUAUAAAGUGGGAUUGCCAUCGCUCAACGGAUAAAAGCUACCCUGGGAUAACAGGCUUAUCACUCCCAAGAGUUCACAUCGACGGAGUGGUUUGGCACCUCGAUGUCGGCUCAUCGCAUCCUGGGGCUGGAGUAGGUCCCAAGGGUUGGGCUGUUCGCCCAUUAAAGCGGUACGCGAGCUGGGUUCAGAACGUCGUGAGACAGUUCGGUCCCUAUCCGGCGCGGGCGUAAGAGAUUUGAGAGGAGCUGUCCUUAGUACGAGAGGACCGAGAUGGACGGACCACUGGUGUAUCUGUUGCACCACCAGGUGCACGGCAGAGUAGCCAAGUCCGGACGGGAUAAACGCUGAAGGCAUCUAAGCGUGAAGCCCCCCUCAAGAUGAGAUCUCUCAUUCGAAAGAAGUAAGACCCCUUGAAGACGACGAGGUAGAUAGGGCAGGGGUGGAAGGGCAGUAAUGUCCGGAGCUGACUGUUACUAAUCGGUCGAGGGCUUGACCUG